UUCCGUAGGGUGAACCUGCGGAGGGAUCAUU
rnacentral:rRNA from 3 species